rnacentral:rRNA from 1 species
CUUACCAUGCAAGUCGAACGGUGAUGCGGAGCUUGCUCCGCGGAUCAGUGGCGAACGGGUGAGUAACACGUGAGUAACCUGCCCUUGACUCUGGGAUAAGCGUUGGAAACGACGUCUAAUACCGGAUAUGACCUACGGAGGCAUCUUCUGUGGGUGGAAAGAAUUUCGGUUGGGGAUGGACUCGCGGCCUAUCAGCUUGUUGGUGAGGUAAUGGCCCACCAAGGCGACGACGGGUAGCCGGCCUGAGAGGGUGACCGGCCACACUGGGACUGAGACACGGCCCAGACUCCUACGGGAGGCAGCAGUGGGGAAUAUUGCACAAUGGGCGCAAGCCUGAUGCAGCAACGCCGCGUGAGGGAUGACGGCCUUCGGGUUGUAAACCUCUUUUAGCAGGGAAGAAGCGAAAGUGACGGUACCUGCAGAAAAAGCACCGGCUAACUACGUGCCAGCAGCCGCGGUAAUACGUAGGGUGCAAGCGUUGUCCGGAAUUAUUGGGCGUAAAGAGCUCGUAGGCGGUUUGUCGCGUCUGCUGUGAAAACGCGAGGCUCAACCUCGCGCCUGCAGUGGGUACGGGCAGACUAGAGUGCGGUAGGGGAGAUUGGAAUUCCUGGUGUAGCGGUGGAAUGCGCAGAUAUCAGGAGGAACACCGAUGGCGAAGGCAGAUCUCUGGGCCGUUACUGACGCUGAGGAGCGAAAGCGUGGGGAGCGAACAGGAUUAGAUACCCUGGUAGUCCACGCCGUAAACGUUGGGAACUAGAUGUGGGGUCCAUUCCACGGAUUCCGUGUCGCAGCUAACGCAUUAAGUUCCC